UACGGGGGGGGGCAAGCGUUGUUCGGAAUUACUGGGCGUAAAGGGCUCGUAGGUGGCCAACUAAGUCAGACGUGAAAUCCCUCGGCUUAACCGGGGAACUGCCUUUGAUACUGAGGAUCUCGAGUUCGGGAGAGGUGAGUGGAACUGCGAGUGUAGAGGUGAAAUUCGUAGAUAUUCGCAAGAACACCAGUGGCGAAGGCGGCUCACUGGCCCGAUACUGACGCUGAGGCACGAAAGCGUGGGGAGCAAACAGG
rnacentral:rRNA from 1 species